UGUUGUAGUGCGUUCAUGCUU
rnacentral:siRNA from 1 species